GGCCUCCAAUCGGCGUUCGCCGGCAGGCGCCACUUCCGUAGAGAGGAACAGUGGUGCGGCCUGGGUCCAUGGCGCUCUUCCCAGCCUUUGCGGGCGUUAGCGAGGCCCCCGAUGGCGGGGGGUCUAGGAAAGAAUUAGACUGGCUGAAUAACCCAAGCUUUUGUGUUGGAGCCAUAACUUCCCUGAGCCAACAAACUGAAGAGGCCACAGCUCUUGUUUCUGAAGGGUCAUCAGCAACAAGGAGUCCUCUGAAAUCAGAGCCUUCAGAUGAAAGUGAUGCUAGCCAAAAGCUCACACAGACAAGCAGGAGAAAGAAGAAGGAGAAAAAGAAGAAAAGGAAGCAUCAGCACCACAAGAAAACCAAGAGGAAGCACAGGCAGUCGAGCAGCAGUGAAUCUGAGCCAGACUCUGAUUCAGGAAAGGACCAAUCCUCAAGGAGCAUCAGAGGCAGUCAGAAGCAAGCUGAGAAACCCAGUCAAGGAAAUAAUGCUGCCGCUGAUGCUGGAUAUCACUCUGUCUGGCUUGAGGACAUUCAGACUCUGACAGGAGAGACCUUCAGAACAGAUAAGAAACCAGAUCCUGCAAACUGGGAGUAUAAGUCUCUCUACCGAGGGGAUAUAGCAAGAUACAAGAGGAAAGGAGACUCCUGCCUGGGCAUUAACCCAAAGAAGCAGUGCAUAUCUUGGGAAGGGGCUUCCUCAACAAAGAAGCAUGCGCACAAGCACGUUGAGCGCUAUUUUACAAAGAAGAGUGUGGGGUUGAUGAGCAUUGAUGGAGUUGCCGUCAGCAGUAAAGCAGAACCUCCCUCUGCAGAGCCAGUGCUGUUUAUCCCCGUGAAGGACUUGGAUGAGGUGGCUUCUCCUGUUACCACCUGGUUGAAUCCUCUGGGGAUUUAUGAUCCGUCAACCACACAGUGGUUACAAGGACAGGGCCCUUCAGAGCAAGAAUCAAAGCAACCAGACUCACAGCAGGACAGAGAAAAUGCUCUUCUCAAGGCAAAGGUGGAGGAGUUUAAUAGGAAGGUUCGGGAGAACCCUCGGGAUACUCAGCUGUGGAUGGCAUUUGUGGCUUUUCAGGAUGAGGUCAUGAGGAGUCCUGGCCUGUAUGCUAUGGAGGAAGGAGAGCAGGAGAAGAGAAAGAAGUCCCUGAAGCUCAUCCUGGAGAAGAAGCUUGCCAUCCUGGAGCGGGCCAUUGAGAGCAACCAGAGCAGCAUCGAUCUCAAGCUCGCCAAGCUGAAGCUCUGUGCGGAGUUCUGGGAACCUGCCGCGCUGGUCAAAGAGUGGCAGAAACUGAUCUUUUUACAUCCCAAUAAUACAGUCCUUUGGCAGAAAUACCUUUUGUUUUGCCAGAGUCAGUUUAGCACUUUUUCAAUAUCAAAAAUUCACAGUCUUUACGGAAAGUGCUUGAGCACUCUGUCUGCUGUUAAGGAUGGCAGCAUCUUAUCUCACCCUGCAUUGCCUGGCAUAGAAGAAGCCAUGUUUGCACUCUUUCUUCAGCAGUGCCACUUUCUGCGGCAGGCUGGCCACUCGGAGAAGGCCAUAUCUUUGUUCCAGGCCAUGGUUGACUUCACUUUCUUCAAACCUGACAGUGUGAAAGAUCUGCCUACUAAAGCACAGGUGGAAUUCUUUGAGCCCUUCUGGGACAGUGGAGAACCCCGGCCUGGGGAGAAAGGCGCCCGAGGCUGGCGGGCGUGGAUGCACCAGCAAGAGCGGGGUGGCUGGGUGGUCGUCAACCCAGAUGAGGAUGACGACGAGCCAGAAGAAGAUGACCAGGAGAUAAGAGAGAAAACUCUGCCCCGGUGGCAGAUCUGGCUUGCUGCUGAGCGUUCCCGAGAUCAGAGGCACUGGAGGCCCUGGCGCCCUGAUAAGACGAAGAAGCAAACUGAGGAAGACUGUGAAGAUCCCGAGAGACAGGUGUUGUUUGAUGAUAUUGGACAAUCUCUGAUCAGACUUUCCAGCCAAGAUCUUCAGUUCCAGCUGAUGGAAGCCUUUCUGCAGUUCUUGGGUGUACCUUCUGGCUUUGUUCCUCCAGCCUCCUGCCUGUACCUGGCCAUGGAUGAGAGCAGCAUCUUUGACAGUGGACUCUGUGAUGAAAAGCCCUUGACUUUUUUCAACCCUUCAUUUUCUGGCAUCAGCUGUGUUGGCCGCAUGGACCGGUUGGGCUGUCUCCGCUGGACCCGGGGUUACAACCGCGAGGGCGAAGAGUUCAUUCGCAAUGUCUUCCACCUUGUGAUGCCUUUGUUUUCAGGCAAGCAAAAAUCUCAACUCUGCUUUUCCUGGCUACGGUACGAGAUUGCCAAGGUCAUUUGGUGUCUGCACACUAAAAACAAGAAGAGAUUAAAGUCACAGGGGAAGAACUGCAAAAAACUAGCCAAGAACCUCCUCAAAGAGCCAGAAAACCGUAAUAAUUUCUGCCUCUGGAAGCAGUAUGCACAUCUGGAGUGGUUGCUUGGCAACAUAGAAGAUGCCCGAAAAGUUUUUGAUACAGCACUCAGCAUGGUGGGCAGCAGUGAGCUGAAAGACCGUGAACUUUGUGAACUCAGUCUGCUCUAUGCUGAGCUGGAGCUGGAGCUGUCGCUGGACUCUGCAGGGGCCACAACAGCUCGAGCCGUUCACAUACUAACCCGACUGACAGAGAGUGGUCCCUAUGGGCCCUUCACUGGGCAGGUCUUACCCAUUCAUGUUUUGAAAGCUCGAAAGGCUUAUGAGCAUGCGCUACAAGACUGUGUGGUUAAGAGCUGUGUCUCUGAUCCAGCUCCUGCUGACUCUUUAAACUGUCUUAGUAGCUUGGUCAAGUGCUUUAUGCUCUUCCAGUAUUUGACCGUAGGGAUCGAUGCUGCUGUGCAGAUAUAUGAACAGCUAUUUGCCAAACUGAAGGGUUCUGUUUUCCCAGAAGGCCCUGGUCUGGAGGACAGUGCCUGCUCCCAGAAGUUGACCAGCGUUCUAGAAGCCAUCACACUGAUGCACACAAGUCUGUUGAGAUUUCACAUGAAAGUUAACGUGUACCCUCUGACGCCACUACGAGAGGCACUCUCGGAGGCUUUGAGGCUGUAUCCUGGCAACCAGGUUCUUUGGAGGUCAUAUGUUCAGAUUCAAAAUAAGUCUCACAGUGCUAGCAAGACCAGAAAAUUCUUUGAUGCAAUGACCAGGUCUGCCAAACCCAUGGAGCCAUGGUUAUUUGCAAUUGAAGCUGAGAAAAUGAGGAAAAGACUGGUAGAAACUGUUCAGAGGGUGGGCGGUAGAGAGAUCCAUGCCACCAUCCCGGAGACCGGCUUAACACACCGGAUCAGAGCCCUGUUUGAAAACGCAGUACGGAGCGACAACGGCAGCCAGUGCCCCUUACUGUGGAGGAUGUAUUUGAACUUUUUGGUUUCCUUGGGAAACAAAGAAAGAAGCAAAGGUGUGUUCUACAAAGCACUUCAGAAUUGUCCUUGGGCAAAGGUGUUGUAUCUGGACGCCGUGGAGUACUUCCCCGACGAGCUGCAGGAGGUCCUGGACCUGAUGACUGAGAAGGAGCUCCGCGUGCGGCUUCCCCUGGAGGAGCUGGAGCUCCUGCUGGAGGACUAGAGCCGGUGCUGGGAGCGGGGCGCGCACCUGGGCGCCUCUGCCUCGGCUGUGCGCUUCCUCCUUCCUCAGUGCCUGGGCGUCGCCUUUCCCGCCUUGCACAGGUGUUGGAUGGGCAAAGGCACCAAGCCAUCGUUCUGCAUAUUAUACAUGGGACUGCGUGUGCCUGUGUAGAGGUGAAUCAUGCCACGUGAUGGUGACUCCUCCUGUGGUUGAGCAGCACAAAUGGACUAAGACACCUGUCAACCAAGCUACAGAUCACAAAAUUCUUCACAGCAGUUUUUGUGCCUGAAAUUGGAGUACUGAUUCUGUCUUCCUCUUCCAGUGUGUGGUCUGAUCCCACAACCUGACUGAACUCCUCAAGGGCAGAGACUACCAUGUUCAUGGCUGUAUCCCUUGAAGCCUGGUGGUUCUGGCUCAGGGCAAGCUGUAGUUACUGAAGACUGACCAAUUUCCAGAUAAACCUAGCUCCUGGGUAGGUAGCUGCUACCUGGCUUCUACCUGGAGAGCAAAGUCCAGAACACCCACAGAAGGCCACAGACAACAAGAACUUGCCACACAGGCAGAGCUCAGUGAUCAUUAAUGCUUAAAGAGCUGUGUGAUUUUUUUUUUUUUUAACCUCUCAUCAAGGCAAAACAGGUGGAGAAGUUUACCUUUUGGUCCCAAUGGCAUCGAUUUCAUCAAUGAACACAAUGGAUGGUGCAUGUUCUUCAGCAACUCGAAACAAUUCCCGUACGAGUUUGGGCCCAUCACCUAGGUACUUCUGAAUAAGUUCGGAGCCAACCACUCUCAAGAAAGUGGCCGAGGUUUGGUUUGCUACUGCUUUAGCUAACAAGGUUUUACCUAUUUUAGAUAAAAAGAAAAAGGAUAACAAAAACCCUCAAGUGCUGUUUUAACUUAGAAACAUUACCACCUUAAAUGGACACCACAGAUGGGUGGAGCCCAGUGAUGAAAAGGCAUACCACCAUCAGGUGUCCUGCAGUUCUCUUCUAAGUAGGUAAGAGGAAAUUUAGAAAAACCUAACACGUUUUGAUUAUUUGAACUAUUUUCCUAAAGUCAUCACCACAUCAGAAAAUAUAUACUUGGUUAGUUUCAAACCUUGACCCAAAGUCUCCACUGAAGAAUUAUAAACUAUAAUUACCUAUAGGAAGACUUUCUCUGUACUAGCAAUGAAAUAAAUCUUUUUUCUCUAGGUGAGCUUUCCUUGGGUCUCUUCAAAAUUGCAUAUAAAAUUAAUCCAACCCAUCCAACCCAGGAUUAGAGAAUCAAAUAACUAGAGUUAUCAAGGAUGAUACACCAUCUGGAAUCCUAGGUUUGACCCAUCAAGGGGAUGGGUUGUAUUGUAGCUCAGUGGUAGAGCGCUUGCCUAGCAUGUGUGAGGCACUGGGUUCAAUCCUCAGCACCACAUAUAAAUAAAUAAAAUAAAGGUAUUGUGUCUAUCUACAACUAAAAAAAAAAAAGGCUUUAAAUGUUCUUUUUAAAGAGAUAACACUUAAGGUUCAUGACACAGGUCACAGAGGAGUUACUCUGGGUGGGCUUGCUGUCUGCUCAGGCACCUGAGUCCUAACUAGCAUUUGAUGGAGCCCACAAAUGAGAGCUGUGGAAAGCUUAAGACUUUUGUCGAUCUUGGGUGACCUCUGAGAAUAAGGCAGUUCCUCUCACUGAUCUCAGGAAGAUCUCAAACCAUAUCUCCAAUACUUUUCUAUUCUCUCUUGGGUCCAAAACAAAGAGUAUCCAACUUGAGAAUUUUAGAGCUGUGAGACCUUAACCCCUUUGAUGGUAAGUGAAGCCAUGUCUCAGGAUUGAGUGCUGCCUCAGGACUCAGAAAUAACUGGAGCACAAGUGGCACCUUGAGACCAGCAGGGGAACCCAAGGAGGAGUCUGGCUGGGGUGUGACAUAGAAAACUCCAGAGUGGGAAGGACAGGGAACUAAACUUUGCAAUAUAUGACAAUGAUAUUCCCUUAUGUAGAAUGGCAGGUGAAAAGGUUUAGGGGCUGGAUUACUCCCUGAGAGAUCAAUUAAAGAUGGCUAAAACAAAAAG